CUGCCGAUGGCGCGCCCGGCUUCGGGCCGCGGUGCCCGUCCCCGCCGUGUUCGCACCCCCUCUGCGCGUCCCUCAGCGGUCGGAGCGAGGGCGAGACCCUGCAGGAAGGAGCCGAGGACGCGGGCCUCCCCGGAAUCCCCCUCACGGCCGGGCUGCGCCUUGGGCCCGGGCAGCCCCUCGCUUCGGCGCUCCUGUUUUCCCUCUGUUGUUUGCCCGCGGGGACCACAGUAACUGACUCGUGCUCGGUUAUCGCAGGCCCGGAGGUAUGUGACUUCGGCAACAGCUCGAGUCAAAGCCAGUGAACCAGAAUUUGAAUCUGGACCCUGCUCCUGCAGAGGCUGGAAGAGGGUGAGACCAGAGGCAAAAUGACCACUUCUCCAACCUGAAGGUGCAGGACCCAAGACUGGAUAAGGAAUCCUUCGAUCCCCCCGGCCAGAGACCACUGAGGAGCGAUGCUGGAGGUGGGAGAGGCCAGUCGGUGGCAGUCACUGGGCAGCUUUAUGGGAACCUGCAUCCCUAGGACAGCACCCACACUGGCUUAGGCCCAAAUGAAGGGCACAGCCAGCCUCUUCCAAUGGCACACAGACAAGCAGUGUGGAAUAGUCAAAAUCAGGAGUAGGUGGAAAACCUGAAACCAUAGAAGGAAGCUUCACAGGCUCAUGG